rnacentral:rRNA from 1 species
GAUGAACGCUGGCGGCGUGCUUAACACAUGCAAGUCGAACGAUGAAGCCCAGCUUGCUGGGUGGAUUAGUGGCGAACGGGUGAGUAACACGUGAGUAACCUGCCCUUAACUCUGGGAUAAGCCUGGGAAACUGGGUCUAAUACCGGAUAGGAGCGCCUACCGCAUGGUGGGUGUUGGAAAGAUUUAUCGGUUUUGGAUGGACUCGCGGCCUAUCAGCUUGUCUGUGAGGUAAUGGCUCACCAAGGCCACGACGGGUAGACGGCCUGAGAGGGUGACCGGCCACACUGGGACUGAGACACGGCGCAGACUCCUACGGGAGGCAGCAGGGGGGAAUAUUGCACAAUGGGCGAAAGCCUGAUGCAGCGACGCCGCGUGAGGGAUGACGGCCUUCGGGUUGUAAACCUCUUUCAGUAGGGAAGAAGCGAAAGUGACGGUACCUGCAGAAGAAGCACCGGCUAACUACGUG